GUCACGCUGGCAAUCCGCGCAGAAAAUGUGCGUAAUAACUCGGGGGUAUCGUCCGCCGAGAAAAAAAAAGGCGUUCAAAGCUGCGCACACCAUCUGGGCGUUGUCAAUGGCGACGGAGCCACGCAGGAGCUGUCCGCGUGCUGAGUCGCUCGUGCAGCGUCACCACGAGACGCCUGCCAAGGGCUUGAGCUUCACACACCGCUCGGAGGGUAAGUCGGUUGGUUUUCUGGAACCGACGGAGGAGACCUCGGCGGGAACGACUGCGUGGGCACGUAAUGUUCCGGAAGGGUCCCCGGGGAAAAGCGGUAUUUAAAGAGGUGUCCCAGUUCAGAGGCCUGGAGGUGAAGCGGCGGUACGACCUCUGACCCCUGCUGGGAAUCUCCAUCUCCGGAGCCAAAGGGGUCAAGGGUUACUGUGCUGAGUUAAAACCGUCCUCUCGCUAGAGAUGUUGAACUGGUGAACCAACCGACGGAAAAUGUUUUGCUUCAGCACAAGUCAAUGAAUUCUGUUUUUUUGUGUAGACGAACCAAUCCGCCUGUGAUGGCGAGUAUGUGCAAAUAAUAAUCAAUCUAUAAAGAAUAUUAAAAACACAAAGGUAUAGUGAGAUUAGCCUUGAGGCUAGCCUUGAUGCUACUGUUUUUUUCUGCUUUGUUUGAAACUCAAAGGAGGUAAUAUGAGCCUUUAGCUCCCGGUUAAGGCAUACAAUGAUUUACUUAUGGAACUGUUUGCUAGCUUGAAGUAAUAUUGGGAGGGAUAUUGAUAUAUCGAGGGAUAUUGCUACACAGCGAACAUUGCAUGGAUUACCAAAGACCUAUCAAACGGUUUGAUAACGGCAAUCCAGGCUAUUCGCACCCAAUGGCAUCAAGGUCAACUUGCUAUCCACACAUAUUUGGAUAGAGGUGAGAAAUAAAAUCACAGAGAAUCUCCUUUCAUCAGGAUUUUUUUGAUGAAUACAAAAAUUUGAAAUGGGGAAAUUAUGUUGACAUUCUGGCAUUUUCAAUAAUGAUUUGACAUAACUCAUAAGGACUUUUUUUUCUUUUCGUAUUCUGUCACUUUGUUUGUCAGGAAACAUUGGCUAAUGCAACAGGGAAAUUAUAUGGGCACCGUGGUGGCGAUCAUCCUUUGAUAUAUUUCCCUUUCAUCAUUAAAAUGAAUUAAUCUUUGUUUACGGAAGGAAGAGAAAAAACAUUCUGCCCGCGCAAAACAAACAAUCAUUAGCAUAUCAAAUGUCUUCAGAUAGUGCUUUUGGAAUUUAAUGAUCUACUGGCUGAAUGAUGAAAUGAAGGUCACGUGAAAAUCAUCUCAGUCACAUAAUUUAUAUAAUUAAUGAAGGUUUCCCCUGUGUGGGGACGUCACACCAACAUGUCAACCCUAUGUUCUCAUAAAUGGCUUUUAUUUAUUAGGGAAACAUGACGGCAGCUUCAGUUCUGGCUACAAAUGGUCAUUGUCACAGGCUCCUACAAUGUAUUGAUUAUGCCUUACCCUGACCUUAAACACAACCUAUCCUUACUAACUUAAUUAUCCGUCAUCGAGUUAAGCCUAUUUCUAAAUCAACAUGCGCCUAAAGUAACGCAUUGGCUUUUUCAUAUUGGCCACUAGAUGGCAUCGCCUACUCACUUUUAUAAUUUCUCUCAACCACUCAACGUGGAUUUAAAUGAAAAGUUGGCGUUUUCAGCGUGAUCGGAGUAGACAAGGCUCAAGCGCUUCUAAACCUGAAUAUAGAACUUUCCUCGGCAUUUUGGCACACGAUUUCAAUUAUCUUUAUCCAGAAUAUUAAACUUUCCUCCACAUUUUGACCCACGACUGUCACUUUAUGACGGUUACUAACAUGACUCACGACUUUGCUCGGACCACUCCAUCCACACAGAUCAUACUUCUAAAGAAUGACCCUUUGCUUUGAAGAUAAGACAAGGACCCCCCCCCUCUUCAGACCAAGAGCCUUGUCCAAUGUUACAUAUUCCCUCCUGAAAAAAGGGGAUUUUGUGGGGCAACCCGAGAGGCCACUGUAUCCAUGACUGGCUCUGGCGGUC
rnacentral:lncRNA from 1 species